rnacentral:rRNA from 1 species
GUGCUAAGGUAGCAUAAUCAUUUGUCUUUUAAAUGAAGACUAGUACAAAAGAUUUAACAUCUUAAUUAAUAUUUUUUUUUAAAUAUUAUAAAUUAUUUUAAAAGUUAAAAAACUUUUAUUUAUUAAAUAGACGACAAGACCCUAUUGAACUUAACUUUAGUUAAACUGGGGCAGUUAAUUAAUUAUUAUUUUAAUAUAAAUAUUAUAAUAAAAAACCUUUUAAUUGAUAAAUCAGUUACCAUAGGGAUAACAGCGUAAUUUUAUUUUAAAGUUCUUAUUAAAAAUAAAGAUUGCGACCUCGAUGUUGAAUUAAUAACCUAAUUAAAGCAAAAUUUAAAAUAGGAAGUCUGUUCGACUUUUAAACAAUUACAUGAUUUGAGUUCAGACCGGUACAAGCCAGGUCGGUUUCUAUCUUUUAAAAAUUUUUUUGUAGUACGAAAGGACCUAAAAAUUAAAUUUUAUUUAAUAAAUUGGCAGAUUAAUGCAUUAGAAUUAGAAUCUAAUUAUCU